AGAGUUUUGUGUGUAAUAUUUUGGUAAUAUUACUUUGCUUUGCGCUACCCCAUGGAUUCAUAUUGGCUCAUUAAACUACUUUAUUGAGUUUCUUGGACAUCGUCUCAUCAAAUGAUAUACGACCAAGCUUGCUCCCGACCAAGCACGCUACGAUUCCUUGGGAGCUCCUGCUAUCGGCACGAUCACCGAUGCACCGGAUCCCUGAGACGAAGAACAAAAACAGCAUGCCACCUGACUGAUGACCCACCCACUGUCUACCCGGACCCAGGAACUAGAAGGCCUUGAGAAAAAUGCCCGGGAAGGAUCCUGAUGGACGCAGCAGAAUAUCAUUUUCAAUGCUUGUCCCACGGCGUGACUGAAUAAUAUUUAUAUAAUCAAUGGAAGGAAAAAACAGUAGAACAUUGAAAUUGGCUCGUAGGCAAGACGGAAGAUGGUCAAAACCGGUCAGAAAAUGAUGGCCUAGACACGGUUGGAGAGCUCUUGUUGGCAGAAACCACCUGAAGAUGGUCAGAUGACAUCAGCAACCUUG